GCCCUUAGAGUUUGAUCAUGGCUCAGAACGAACGCUGGCGGCGUGGAUUAGGCAUGCAAGUCGAACGGGAUCCUUGGGGUUCAAGUCUUCGGACAAGAACCCUUUGGUGAGAGUGGCGAACGGGUGAGUAACGCGUGGGUAAUUUGCCCUGGAGUUGGGGAUAGCCAGCCGAAAGGUUGGAUAAUACCGAAUGGGGUCGCCCUCCGCAUGGAGGGCUGUCUAAAGGUGGGGAUCCGCAAGGACCUGCCGCUUCAGGAUAAGCCCGCGUCCCAUCAGCUUGUUGGUAGGGUAACGGCCUACCAAGGCUUACGGGUAGCUGGUCUGAGAGGAUGAUCAGUCACACUGGGACCGAGACACGGCCCAGACUCCUACGGGAGGCUGCAGUCGAGAAUCAUUCGCAAUGCGCGAAAGCGCGACGAUGCGACGCCGCGUGCAGGAUGACGGCCCUCGGGUUGUAAACUGCUGUCUUGAAGGAACAAUGGCACGGGGGUGAAUAGCCCGUUGUGUGUGAUGGUACUUCAGGAGGAAGCCACGGCUAACUCUGUGCCAGCAGCCGCGGUAAUACAGAGGUGGCAAGCGUUGUUCGGAUUUACUGGGCGUAAAGGGUGCGUAGGCGGUUCCG
rnacentral:rRNA from 1 species